rnacentral:rRNA from 1 species
GAGUUUGAUCCUGGCUCAGAAUCAACGCUGGCGGCGCGCCUAACACAUGCAAGUCGAACGAGAAAGUGGAGCAAUCCAUGAGUACAGUGGCGUACGGGUGAGUAACACGUGGGUAAUCUACCUCUUAGUGGGGAAUAACCAGGGGAAACCCUGGCUAAUACCGCAUAAGCCUGAGAAGGGAAAGCAGCAAUGCGCUGAGAGAGGAGCCCGCGGCCGAUUAGCUAGUUGGUGGGGUAAGAGCCCACCAAGGCAGAGAUCGGUAGCCGGCCUGAGAGGGCACACGGCCACACUGGCACUGAAACACGGGCCAGACUCCUACGGGAGGCAGCAGUGGGGAAUCUUGCACAAUGGGGGAAACCCUGAUGCAGCGACGCCGCGUGAGCGAUGAAGCCCUUCGGGGUGUAAAGCUCUUUCGUCAGGGACGAUAACGACGGUACCUGGAGAAGCAGCUGCGGCUAACUACGUGCCAGCAGCCGCGGUAAUACGUAGGCAGCAAGCGUUGUUCGGAGUUACUGGGCGUAAAGGGUGUGUAGGCGGUUCUUUAAGUUUGGUGUGAAAUCUCCCGGCUCAACUGGGAGGGUGCGCCGAAUACUGAGGGACUAGAGUACGGGAGAGGAAAGUGGAAUUCCUGGUGUAGCGGUGAAAUGCGUAGAUAUCAGGAGGAACACCGGUGGUGUAGACGGCUUUCUGGACCGUAACUGACGCUGAGACACGAAAGCGUGGGUAGCAAACAGGAUUAGAUACCCUGGUAGUCCACGCCCUAAACGAUGCAUAUUUGGUGUGGGCAGUUCAUUCUGUCCGUGCCGGAGCUAACGCGUUAAAUAUGCCGCCUGGGGAGUACAGUCGCAAGGCUGAAACUCAAAGGAAUUGACGGGGGCCCGCACAAGCGGUGGAGCAUGUGGUUCAAUUCGACGCAACGCGAAGAACCUUACCAGCGUUUGACAUGGCAGGACGACUUCCAGAGAUGGAUUUCUUCCCUUCGGGGACCUGCACACAGGUGCUGCAUGGCUGUCGUCAGCUCGUGUCGUGAGAUGUUGGGUUAAGUCCCGCAACGAGCGCAACCCUUGUCAUUAGUUGCUACAUUUAGUUGGGCACUCUAAUGAGACUGCCGGUGACAAACCGGAGGAAGGUGGGGAUGACGUCAAGUCCUCAUGGCCCUUAUAGGUGGGGCUACACACGUCAUACAAUGGCCGGUACAAAGGGCUGCCAACCCGCGAGGGGGAGCUAAUCCCAUAAAACCGGUCGUAGUCCGGAUCGCAGUCUGCAACUCGACUGCGUGAAGUCGGAAUCGCUAGUAAUCGUGGAUCAGAAUGUCACGGUGAAUACGUUCCCGGGUCUUGCACACAC